rnacentral:rRNA from 1 species
GACGAACGCUGGCGGCGUGCCUAAUACAUGCAAGUCGAACGCUUCUUUCCUCCCGAGUGCUUGCACUCAAUUGGAAAGAGGAGUGGCGGACGGGUGAGUAACACGUGGGUAACCUACCCAUCAGAGGGGGAUAACACUUGGAAACAGGUGCUAAUACCGCAUAACAGUUUAUGCCGCAUGGCAUAAGAGUGGAAGGCGCUUUCGGGUGUCGCUGAUGGAUGGACCCGCGGUGCAUUAGCUAGUUGGUGAGGUAACGGCUCACCAAGGCCACGAUGCAUAGCCGACCUGAGAGGGUGAUCGGCCACACUGGGACUGAGACACGGCCCAGACUCCUACGGGAGGCAGCAGUAGGGAAUCUUCGGCAAUGGACGAAAGUCUGACCGAGCAAACGCCGCGUGAGUGAAGAAGGUUUUUCGGAUUCGUAAAACUUCU